rnacentral:rRNA from 1 species
UACGUAGGGGGCAAGCGUUGUCCGGAAUCAUUGGGCGUAAAGCGCGUGUAGGCGGCCAGAAAAGUCCGCUGUGAAAACUCGAGGCUCAACUUCGAGCUGUCGGUGGAAACUUUCUGGCUAGAGUCCGGAAGAGGCGAGUGGAAUUCCCGGUGUAGCGGUGAAAUGCGCAGAUAUCGGGAGGAACACCAAUGGCGAAGGCAGCUCGCUGGGACGUGACUGACGCUGAGACGCGAAAGCGUGGGGAGCAAACAGG